rnacentral:rRNA from 1 species
AUUGAACGCUGGCGGCAUGCCUUACACAUGCAAGUCGAACGGCAGCACGGGAGCAAUCCUGGUGGCGAGUGGCGAACGGGUGAGUAAUAUAUCGGAACGUGCCCAGUCGUGGGGGAUAACGUAGCGAAAGCUACGCUAAUACCGCAUACGAUCUAUGGAUGAAAGCGGGGGAUCGCAAGACCUCGCGCGAUUGGAGCGGCCGAUAUCAGAUUAGGUAGUUGGUGAGGUAAAGGCUCACCAAGCCGACGAUCUGUAGCUGGUCUGAGAGGACGACCAGCCACACUGGGACUGAGACACGGCCCAGACUCCUACGGGAGGCAGCAGUGGGGGAAUUUUUGGGACAAUGGGCGCAAGCCUGAUCCAGCAAUGCCGCGUGCAGGAUGAAGGCCUUCGGGUU